AGUGAACGCUGGCGGUAGGCCUAACACAUGCAAGUCGAACGGCAGCACAGUAAGAGCUUGCUCUUACGGGUGGCGAGUGGCGGACGGGUGAGGAAUACAUCGGAAUCUACUUUUUCGUGGGGGAUAACGUAGGGAAACUUACGCUAAUACCGCAUACGACCUACGGGUGAAAGCAGGGGAUCUUCGGACCUUGCGCGAUUGAAUGAGCCGAUGUCGGAUUAGCUAGUUGGCAGGGUAAAGGCCCACCAAGGUGACGAUCCGUAGCUGGUCUGAGAGGAUGAUCAGCCACACUGGAACUGAGACACGGUCCAGACUCCUACGGGAGGCAGCAGUGGGGAAUAUUGGACAGUGGGCGCAAGCCUGAUCCAGCCAUACCGCGUGGGUGAAGAAGGCCUUCGGGUUGUAAAGCCCUUUUGUUGGGAAAGAAAAGCAGCAGGUUAAUACCCCGCUGUUCUGACGGUACCCAAAGAAUAAGCACCGGCUAACUUCGUG
rnacentral:rRNA from 1 species